rnacentral:rRNA from 1 species
UACGGAGGGUGCAAGCGUUGCUCGGAAUCACUGGGCGUAAAGGGUGCGUAGGCGGGUCUUUAAGUCAGGGGUGAAAUCCUGGAGCUCAACUCCAGAACUGCCUUUGAUACUGAAGAUCUUGAGUUCGGGAGAGGUGAGUGGAACUGCGAGUGUAGAGGUGAAAUUCGUAGAUAUUCGCAAGAACACCAGUGGCGAAGGCGGCUCACUGGCCCGGUACUGACGCUGAGGUGCGAAAGCGUGGGGAGCAAACAGG